GAUGGGUCUUGCACACAAAGCCGAAGCUCUCUUCUCUUCGAUCCUUCUCAUUCUCUGUUUUUCUCUCUGCAGGAAGUCUUCUUCUCUCUUUCUCUAUGUUUUUCUUUUAGUUUCAGCAGCAGUUCUCUCUCUCUUGCUCACGGUUUGUAGCCCAGAAAAAUAGAAAAGAAACAAAGUGGAAAACUAGAAAAUUCUCUCCAAAGCUAUCUCCUUCUUCCUUGAUCAUUUUUCUGCAACUCUUUUCUUUCUCUCCCUCUUUUUCAACUCUCUUGUUGUCUAACGGCUCAAACCAGAAAUAAGGAAAGGAAAAGCUCUCAAAGAACCCACUGUCCCUCUCUCUCUUGAAGAACAGAGCAUGAACACCCUGUUUUUUUUUCCUCUCUUAGUCCCUCUCACACACUCGGUCAGCAUCCAACAAAGGAGAGGACAAAGCCAACUUAUUUUAGAAAGACUCAUCUUUAUUCCGUGGAUCUCUCUUUGUAGCAGAGAACUGUUUAUAGACAAAGAUUAGAGCUCGAGUGGUCUUCAAGUUAAAGAUACAUAGUUUGUAUUUUGUUUGUAGUCUUCUGUGUUUAUAACAUUUUAUGUUGACAAGAUUGCUAAUAAUUUCCAUGUAUUCUCUUGUGUCACUAUGGACACCUGUUUCCA